AGACUGUCUCUCCCUAGGCAGCGCCCCCGCGUGACUGCGCUUUACAUAAUCGCGGCCUCACGCGUCACAGUGGCGUACUCCAGUUCAGAUCGAAUCAGAGUGGUGUAAAGCUUCGCGUUUCGCCCUCUCCUGCUUGAUCGACGUCGAAGUGAACCAGUGAACCGGCUUUCAGCGCCGCAGUGCCCGCCCCGGUUCGCCCAGGCCCGCCCGCGCCGGCCCGCGCCAACCCGCCCUCCUGCCGCAGCUAGCAGCCUGUCGCCACCGCCAGGUUGUGCCUCAGACUGUCAGAUAAAGCGGCGGGCCGGGCCCGCGGGGCGGUGAGCACGGCCCGGGCCGGACAUGGCGGCGCUCUACGCCUGCACCAAGUGCCACCAGCGCUUCCCCUUCGAGGCGCUGUCUCAGGGGCAGCAGCUGUGCAAGGAAUGUCGGAUUGCACACCCAGUUGUGAAGUGCACCUACUGCAGGACUGAGUACCAGCAGGAGAGCAAAACCAAUACAAUUUGCAAGAAAUGUGCUCAGAAUGUGCAGUUGUAUGGAACGCCCAAACCUUGUCAGUAUUGCAACAUAAUUGCAGCAUUUAUUGGCAAUAAAUGCCAACGUUGCACAAAUUCAGAGAAGAAGUAUGGACCACCAUAUUCUUGUGAGCAGUGCAAGCAGCAGUGUGCGUUUGACAGGAAAGAUGAUAGAAAGAAGGUAGAUGGGAAAUUGCUAUGCUGGCUGUGCACACUUUCAUACAAACGUGUUCUCCAGAAGACCAAAGAGCAAAGGAAGCACCUGAGCAGCUCUUCUCGUGCAGGCCACCAGGAGAAGGAACAGUACAGCCGCCUGAGUGGUGGUAGCCAUUAUAACAGCCAGAAAACACUUUCUACAUCUUCAAUUCAAAAUGAAAUCCCAAAGAAAAAAUCCAAGUUUGAUUCAAUCACAACAAAUGGAGACAGCGAUGCUUCCUCUUACGAGCUGCUUUGUCCUAAUAUCCAGAGUGCCCCGUCCGUGUUGGUGCAGUGGGCCACUUCCCAACAGAGUCUUGGGGCCACCAAUUUUCCUGUUCCUCCAGGCCCGGGCAUCUUGAACUUUUCCCCAGACCUGGCUCUGGAUUCACCAGGCACUGACCACUUUGUCAUCAUUGCUCAGCUGAAAGAAGAGGUAGCUACUCUGAAGAAGAUGUUGCAUCAAAAGGAUCAAAUGAUCUUAGAGAAAGAAAAAAAGCUGUAUCCAUGGUCCAGUAAUACUCAGAGUAUGAGGCCAAGGCUCCCCACUCCCUGGACAGUGUUCAGAUUACCGAGUUGAAGGCUGAUUUUCAGUACCAGGAAUCUCAGAUGAGGGCAAAAAUGAACCAAAUGGAGAAAACGCACAAAGAAGUCACAGAACAAUUGCAGGCCAAAAAUCGAGAACUCCUAAAACAGGCAGCUGCCUUGUCCAAGAGCAAGAAGUCAGAAAAGUCAGGAGCUAUGACCUCUCCAUGACAGACUGCAGGAGGCUCUUCAGCAACAGCAGAUGGGGUCAUCCUGGGUUAGGGUUGGAGACCUGGCUGUUCUCUGGGAAUUGCAAACUUUCUUAAGAAUCUCUAUUUUAUUACUGUUGUCCUUCUUUGUGUGAUUGCAGUGAGAUGAAUGGAAACAUCUAGUUUGUGCUGUGUUAUGACUGCAUGCUUGAGUGUUUGGGAUUUCAGGUUCAAUCUCCUUCUCUUUCUCUCUCACUACUCCUUCUAUGCUUUUCUUCCUCUUCUACCAUCUCUUCCUCUUUUUUUCUCUCCCUUCCCUUUUCUUCCUUCUAUCCCUUUCUUCCCUUUCCUCUUUCUCUAUGUAUUUUGGUUCUACUCUUUGUUCUUUUGUGGUGGUCACUGCUCAGUGUUAUGUGCAGAAUGAUUUUUUUAUGUCCAUCCUUGCAUCCUGCCAUACCCAUGAGCAAAUAGUUUGGCAUUAAUUGUAUAUCACUGCCACCCUCUAACUUUAAAAACUGCCACCUUAAGACUUGGUACAAUGAGAGAGGCUUUCUCUCUCCAAUAAAUCUUUUGCUUCAGGGUAUACUCUUGGGUUUUUUUCCAGGUAUAUUAUGUAUGAACUUUGUACUAUGUAUAGCCAGAGUUUUAUUUAUUUUUUAAAAAAAGAAACUUUUUCUUGAUAAAAGAAUAAUGGUAGCCUAGCUAGUUGUUCUUGUAAAAGCGAUGCCUCUUGGGGGGAAAAAAAGUCCUAUUCUCUAGCUUUUAGAAAAUGCAUCAGAUCUUUUCUUUCUUGUUAACUUUAGAGUCUUAAAAACCGAUUACUAAGGUGAAAUAAUUUCAAUGUAUACGUAUGGAGUUAAGUGCCUUUUAGAGGAUUUCUUGGAAGAUCAUUUAAGGAGAUACUUAAGGGAGGUUGCAAAGAUUUUGAACAGUCUGUCUUUUUAAGUAAGGGCAGAAAGAAAGGUUGUCCAGGUUGUACUGGACAUUUCCCUCCCCCACUUCCUUUAUUCUUAGGUAAUUGAUUUUAAAUUCUCAUACUGCCACUUCUUUUUUUUUUUUUUAAAUACCCUUUACCUAUAUAAGUUGUUAUACUGGGCUAUUAUUGUCAGAAAACAUUUUUUUUUUUUUUAAAACAGGAGCAGAUUCAAAAUGGUUCAACUAUAGGACACUCUGGGAUCAGUACAAACUGCUCAAGUAUGGACUAUUAGUCCAAAUGGGAGAAAUAAUAUCAUUGUACCUUCUUCCUAUUUCUCUUCACCCACCCCAGCCUGUAUACUCCCUGCUUUUAAUGGAAAGGUAUUGAAUACAUGUGCUUCUCAGAAGCAGUUUGGCGUCAGCCAGAGAUAUAUGUGGCCUGUCUUCCCUUCUUAUCCCAAUAGACACAUGGAUUCACUUUUCCAGGAAAGGGAUAGACAUGUAUUUCUAGCUGUACUCUCAGGUACUUUAUGUGGUCUUUUUAAAGAAGUUGGGGAUGUGUAUAGUAUGUGCUGUGAAGUAACAAAAUCAACUACCAUGGAAUUAUUAAUGCAGGGGGGUACUAGAGUUAAAGGUAAUGGUGAGGGCAGAUGACAUUUGUAGUCUCAGUCUACCAAAAUUGUAGCAGUAAAUUUAGCUUGUUAAAAGCAGAUGUUCUAUAACCUGUGAUAACAUUCUCACAAGUGGAGCCAUGCACAUAAUUGGACAGAGAUGUGGAAAGGGUGGCUUCCUUCUGCUAAGAGAUACAGUGGACCAUGUGGCUUAGAUAUCGCCCUGGUAGGGGAUGUAAUUUUCCCUUCUAAGCAAGGGGAACAGCAGUGCUAAAUAGUUUUGUAACUUUUUGAAUGAGAAGCUUUUAGGUAAACUGUAAGAUAAUAUUUUUUAGAUGCAUUUGCAUUGGCUAUGGGGAAAAGAUUGAGAAAAAUGACAGUCAUGUUUUUUUUUUUAAUUUUAAAGACUGAGAAACUCUGUUAUCUGAAGUAUGAUAAUAUAAAAACAUUUAGUUUUAUACUAAAUCUUUUUUUAAGGUCUUGGCAUUUAAUAUAAAGCAAACCCACACAUUUUCUAACUUUCCAUAAGUUAUUAAAAGGGAAAGAAGAAUCCUUAGUCUUGAAAUUUUAAUUUUUAAAAAUCAUGACACUGUUUUGCCAUGAAAUUGAGUAGCUAACUUUUGGUAACACCUUUUGUUUCUUUGUAUGUUUGUAAUAAUGGACAUUUUAAAACACAGGAAUGUUUUGGUUUGUACAGACUUUGACAAAUGUGUGUUAAUAAAAAUUCAUAUUGACUCAAGUAUACAA